rnacentral:rRNA from 1 species
GACGAACGCUGGCGGCGUGCUUAACACAUGCAAGUCGAACGGAAAGGCCCUGCUUUUGUGCGGUGCUCGAGUGGCGAACGGGUGAGUAACACGUGAGUAACCUGCUCUUGACUUUGGGAUAACUUCAGGAAACUGGGGCUAAUCUCAGAUCGGAGCUCCUGCUGCAUGGUGGGGGUUGGAAAGUUUCGGCGGUUGGGGAUGGACUCGCGGCUUAUCGGCUUGUUGGUGGGGUAGUGGCUUACCCAGGGUUGGACGGGUAGCCGGCCUGAGAGGGUGAACGGCCACAUUGGGACUGAGAUACGGCCCAGAGUCCUACGGGAGGCAGCAGUGGGGAAUAUGGCACAAUGAGCGGAAGCCUGAUGCAGCAACGCCGCGUGCGGGAUGACGGCCUUCGGGUUGUAAACCGCUUUCGCCUGUGACGAAGCGUGAGUGACGGUAAUGGGUAAAGAAGCACCGGCUAACUACGUG